AACGAACGCUGGCGGCAUGCCUAACACAUGCAAGUCGAACGAGACCUUCGGGUCUAGUGGCGCACGGGUGCGUAACGCGUGGGAACCUGCCCUUAGGUUCGGAAUAACUCCCCGAAAGGGGUGCUAAUACCGGAUAAUGUCUUAGGACCAAAGAUUUAUCGCCUUUGGAUGGGCCCGCGUUGGAUUGGCUGGUUGGUAGGGUAAAAGCCUACCAAGGCGACGAUCCAUAGCUGGUCUGAGAGGAUGAUCAGCCACACUGGGACUGAGACACGGCCCAGACUCCUACGGGAGGCAGCAGUGGGGAAUAUUGGACGAUGGGCGAAAGCCUGAUCCAGCAAUGCCGCGUGAGUGAUGAAGGCCUUAGGGUUGUAAAGCUCUUUUACCCGGGAUGAUAAUGACAGUACCGGGAGAAUAAGCUCCGGCUAACUCCGUG
rnacentral:rRNA from 1 species